rnacentral:rRNA from 1 species
UACAGAGGUGGCAAGCGUUGUUCGGAAUUACUGGGCGUAAAGGGCGCGUAGGCGGCCUUCUAAGUCAGACGUGAAGUCCCCCGGCUUAACCUGGGAACUGCGUCUGAUACUGGGAGGCUUGAGUAUGGGAGAGGGAUGUAGAAUUCCAGGUGUAGCGGUGAAAUGCGUAGAUAUCUGGAGGAAUACCGGUGGCGAAGGCGGCAUCCUGGACCAUAACUGACGCUGAGGCGCGAAAGCUAGGGGAGCAAACGGG